AAGAGAGACGGAGAGCGGUUUCAUCCUCUGUCAUCUAUUGUCUCUUUGGUUCUCUCUAAUGGCCACCUCGAAAAAGCCAUUACUCUUCUUAGUACUCUUACCCCUAAUUUUCACGCAAAUUACAGCUGACCCAUCACCUGGAAACGUCGAGACUCUCUCGUCGGAACAUGGAGACUCUGCUCUUAAGCAUGAAGUCGACUACCUCGGCUCCAAGAUUUCAGUUUUAGAAUCAAGUGUUGAUGAAAGAAUCCGUGAAUUGAGGAGAAAGGAUGAGAGUAUUAGACAAUUGGAUACCAUCAUUCGAGAGAAAUCAGACACGAUCUCAUCGUUGAAGAUUGAGAUAGAAUAUUUCGAGCAAAAAGCAUCUCUAGAUGCUAAGGAGAAGAUGAGAAACACGCAUUUACAAGCUGCUGAACUUGAAAAGCAGGUUGACAAUGUUAGAAAGGAAAUAGAAAUGCAGAAUAAGAAAAAAGUGGCACUGGAAGUUCGAUUAAAUGUAGCUGAGGAAAAGAUUGGGGGACUAAAUGUGAAACUAGAAGAUCUUCAAAGGAUUAACAGUGAACAGAAAUCCAAAAUUCAAAAGGCUGAAUGGGCACUUCAACUAGCACAGGAAGAAAUGAUGAAAGCAAUAUUAAGGGCAGCUUCAGUAUCUAAAGCGGUAACUGAGGUCCAUGGAGAGUGGCUUCCACAUUGGUUAGCAGUUCAUUUAUAUCAUUUUCAGGCCUUCUUGGUGUCUCAUUGGAAUGAACUCGGGAGACCUGCUUUGGACAUUACUAUCCAAAAGGUAGUGGAAAAGAAAGAUCAACUUAAAAGGUGGGCUGAGCCCCACAUUAGAAAUGUUGAUGUGUCCUUGGUGUCUCAUUGGAAUGAACAUGGGAGACCUGCUUUGGACAUCACUAUCCAAAAGGCAUUGGAAAAGAAAGAUCAACUUAAAAGGUGGGCUGAGCCCCACAUUAGAAAUGUUAAUACACAUUGGAUCCCAGCGAUGAAGGAAGAAUGGUCAACUUUCAUAAACUAUCUUGAACCUCUUUGUCAGUCACUGCUUUCUAAAAGUAAUGAGGUCUAUCAUGCAUCAAUGAACUCAAUGGCACCACAUGUGGUCAAGGCACGCAUGUUAACAGAUCCUUACAUUCAGGAGGUGAAGAAGUUUGCCGAGCCAUAUGUCAAUCAGGUUGUGAUGGUGACAAGACUUCAUUAUGAAACAAUGGAAGUUGCUUUGAAGCCCUACACCAAAAAGAUGAUUCACACUUAUAGGAAACUUGUCAAUUCUGCUAGUCUAUACCACCAUCAGGUCCAAGAAACUCUUAAAAGCCAUGAAUUAACAAGAACACUUGCAAAUAUGGAUCUAGCAUGGCUUUUGGCGAUUGCUGUAUUGAUUCUACCCGUUAUAGUUCUCUUUCAGCUGUUUUCAGUCAUCUUCAGGUAGAAAGACAAAAAUGCAUGGUCGUGUUGCCCACACACGACAGAGGGUCAAGAGACGUCAUCCUCACAAAUGAAUCAGUGAAGGUUAGCUGGAGUCAGGAAUUCUUGGGAAAUGACCUGAGUUAGAUGAAUCAACAGAAUGCUCCACAAGUCAUAAAAAGGAAUCAUUUUAGUAGCAAUCGAGCUGGUUGAAACCAUGAAUUGCAAUCAAAUACAGCAAUUGAGUUAAUGUCAGCAUCUGGUUCCUAUCUCUCAGUGCCUCAAACAACAUUAUCAUACAACUUUCUUCUUUAGGUUGCUUGUCUUUUUGCAUAUAGAAAAUGAGUCUUAACACUAAUCUCUUCCAGCAAAAGGGGGUGACCUAGUUAAGGGUCAAGAGAGUUGGGAUUUUCUCUGCAAUGGGUUUGUUUUGUUUCAGAGAGGAUCUCCUAGUCUCUUUCAUUUCAUAUUACAAAGGUAAUCUCAAAAAAUUAGGUAGUGAAAUAAGGAGUUGGACAACAUUCUGCUCAAGUCGAUACUUGAUCUUUACUAAAUUAUCUAAGUAGCGUGUCGUCAUUCGCGUAUGUAUAUGUGUGUGUUCGUGUAUGUAUGUGUGUAUUCAUCUCCGUUAGUAGUGUAGCAUACUGUGAGAGAACCAAGGUGGGCUAGUGAGCACUUUAUGAGAUAUGCAUGGAUAGGCUGGGAGGCACACGCUGUUGAAGUUGAUCCCAACCUGAAAAUUUUGUUCCACUUGCUUCAUUCUGUAUCCGAGGCCGAUCCAACUUGAUUUAAACUUGAA